ACGUUCCGCUGUUCUCUGCUGCUGCUGCUUGCGAAGCACAGAAAAGUAUUUUUGGAGUCGCACCACAGCUCGUCACUCGAACGAACGAACGAACGAACUUACCAUCCACGAAGUCGAAAUUAUUGACCUCUUUACAGGAGCAUCUGCGGCCCGGCAGUUGGGUCCAACUGCGAAACGCAACUACUAUCAGGCAAAACGGCUGUUAAGUAGAGCGUGUAAUUUCCUCGUAAAAGGACACGAAGAGAGACAACGACAACGACAACGACAACGACAACGACAACGACAACGACAACGACAAUAACAACGACAACGAUAAUGAUGACGAUGAAGAUUCAAGCGACGUGAUCACGUUCUACUUUAUUUCGAGAUCGUUUCGAGAGUUGGAUCGUUUCUAUUGCUUUACGAAGAACUAUAAAACACUUCGUAAUAACGAAAGAAGAAAAAAAAAAGAAAAAGAGAAAGAGAAAAAAGAAAAAAGAGGGGAGGAGGUGGAAGAGGAGAAGGAAAAAAGAAGUGGACGAAGAAACGUUUCAAGGUUUCAUCUAAAGAACCAAGAUCUAUUUUCUCUUAAUAUGGCCAAUUCCGCGUGAACUCGUCCGACCUCAAACGACCGACUUCGAUAACCGCGAAUGUCGUUCAUCCGAACGGUGCCUCUCCACGUGGUCGCAUAAGGUGUCUGGGUUGAACGAUCCUACCCAAGCGAUAUAUACACUCGACGUAUUCGAGCCAACGAUCCACCGAGAGAGAACCUUGGAUAGUACGGAAAAACAAUAGCCAGACUCGAGGAACUCGAUCCAUCGAUCGAGAAAAAGUACCCCGGUUGGUUACUCGUUUGACUUCGUCUAUAGCUAGAAAAGUAAUCGACCGAUCCGAUCUACAUCUAUUUUCUAUAAUAGAUAAUCAAAAAUGAAUAAUCUUAAAGACGAAGAAAAUGUGAUCGACAAAAAUAUAUUACAUAUAUAUUUUUGUCAAUAUAAUCAAUAAUUUAAAAUAGAAACGAAUUCAACCCUCUAUCAUCAAUCUAUUAUCUCUAGGAUUUAUUAUCUAUAGGAUUUUCUUAUUUUCUAAUUAAAAAGACAGUAAGUCGUGUAUAAUGUAAGUUUCGAAAGUAAAAUUGGAUGAUAAGGACGUUACGUUACCGAAACGUAUAUCCACUCCAGCAAAAAGAGGAUCCACGAGGAGAUCGAAUCUCGUCGUAAUAGCGAGAAUACACGAAGGAAAAUAACCGUCGAUGCAUUCGAUCUUCUUAAAACAGUAGUCCCGAUGACGAUGAUGAUGACGACGACAAAGACGACGACGACGACGACGACGACGACGACAAAGACGACGAUGUUGAUGAUAACGACGAUAACGACGAAGAGGACGACGAUGAUGACGACAACAAGGAUGAGCUAGCAACAGGAAAGAGAAGGGCGUCCUCAAGAAGCAGCUUACAGCAACACGAGUAUCAGCGUUGCUAGCUACGAUGGUUGCUUCUUUCCGCUUUUGUCUUUUCUCCGUCCAUUCGUUGCUAGACGGUGUACGGACGGCAUCGAGAUGGAUAAUCUUCAGUUCCUCUUUCGACUCGUACUUGCGUCUCCUUCCUAGACAGCCCCCACUGAACUUGCUGGUCUUCUUUUCAACCGAUUCACCGCGCAGGCGCACCAAAGACCGACGCUUCUCUCUCUCUCUCUCUCUCUCUCUCUCUCUCUCGCUCUCUCUUUUUCUCUUCUUAUUCUUCUUCUCGUCUGCGGCAAAAAACUUUCCGCCCACGUAAGUAAAGAAAGAGAGAGGAAGACGAUUGUGAUCACGAAAAUCAAGAUUCUCUUCCGCGUGGCGAGUGGACGACUCGUCGAACGUUCAUCGGACUUAUCGGCAAGGGCAAGAAGAGGAAAGGAAGGUUGAGGAUCGAAGGGAGGGUCGUUUAUGAGUCUUAAGACGAAUCGAACACGUGAAAGCACACAUCCUUGUUGUGUGGUCCAGCACGCGUUGUGUCGUAAUAAUGAUGAUGAUAAAAAGAAUAAAAAAAAUAAUAA